rnacentral:rRNA from 1 species
CCUACGGGUGGCAGCAGUAGGGAAUAUUGCUCAAUGGGGGAAACCCUGAAGCAGCAACGCCGCGUGGAGGAUGAAGGUUUUAGGAUUGUAAACUCCUUUUGUGAGAGAAGAUAAUGACGGUAUCUCACGAAUAAGCACCGGCUAACUCCGUGCCAGCAGCCGCGGUAAUACGGAGGGUGCAAGCGUUACUCGGAAUCACUGGGCGUAAAGAGUGUGCAGGCGGGCUUGUAAGUCAGAUGUGAAAUCCUGUAGCUUAACUACAGAACUGCAUUUGAAACUAUGAGUCUAGAGUGUGGGAGAGGUAGGUGGAAUUCUUGGUGUAGGGGUAAAAUCCGUAGAUAUCGCGCAGAACUCCGAUUGCGAAGGCAGCGUACCGGCGCCAGACUGACGCUGAGGCACGAAAGCGUGGGGAUCGAACAGGAUUAGAUACCCUGUAGUC